rnacentral:rRNA from 1 species
UGACCUCAAAUCAGGUAGGACUACCCGCUGAACUUAAGCAUAUCAAUAAGCGGAGGAAAAGAAACUAAACAGGAUUCCCCUAGUAACUGCGAGUGAAGAGGGA